UGAAUCGCUUUUUCUGAUAUUGUAGGAUGACUUUCCAAACAGUUUCAUGCGCUUCAUUGCAUCCAAUUACAGUUCUUUCACUUCGAUCUUAGUCUUGAUUGGAAGCUAGUGAUUUUAUCGAUGGAUUUCUCCUCAACUUUAAUGUUCCUAGAUCUUUGUUAUUUCGUCUCUUGUCGAAUUUAUAGUCUAAAUUUUCUGUUUUUAGAGUUUCGGGCAAGGCCUUUUCUUGGGCCCGUAAUUCAGAAUCUGGUCAAUGGUGGAAUGAAAUAAAAUUUAAGUUCGGCGAAAUUUAAGACAUAACGGGCGGUUUUACUCACUUCAAUGGCUUCAUUCUCUAAUGACUGACUUGAAUUGAGCCAUUGUAUAUGUGGAUUGGCGUAUAUUGAUUUUUGUGCGGUUUUUUUUUGUCUGCUUGUUUGGAGCUAAAAGAUGGGUGCUGCGGAGAACAAUCACGAUAUGGAGGAAGGAACCUUGGAGAUAGGAAUGGAAUAUAGAACGGUAUCCGGAGUUGCUGGACCUUUGGUCAUUCUUGAUAAAGUUAAGUAACGACCA